rnacentral:rRNA from 1 species
UGGGGAAUAUUGCACAAUGGGCGCAAGCCUGAUGCAGCCAUGCCGCGUGUAUGAAGAAGGCCUUCGGGUUGUAAAGUACUUUCAGUCGGGAGGAAGGUGGUAAGGUUAAUAACCUUAUCAAUUGACGUUACCGACAGAAGAAGCACCGGCUAACUCCGUGCCAGCAGCCGCGGUAAUACGGAGGGUGCAAGCGUUAAUCGGAAUUACUGGGCGUUAAGCGCACGCAGGCGGUUGAUUGAGUCAGAUGUGAAAUCCCCGGGCUUAACCCGGGAAUUGCAUCUGAUACUGGUCAGCUAGAGUCUUGUAGAGGGGGGUAGAAUUCCAUGUGUAGCGGUGAAAUGCGUAGAGAUGUGGAGGAAUACCGGUGGCGAAGGCGGCCCCCUGGACAAAGACUGACGCUCAGGUGCGAAAGCGUGGGGAGCAAACAGG